rnacentral:lncRNA from 1 species
UUGAUCACCGUUCCGGUAAAAAGCUGGAAGAUGGCCCUAAAUUCUUAAAGUCUGGUGAUGCUGCCAUUGUUGGUAUGGUUCCUGGCAAGCCCAUGUGUGUCGAGAGCUUCUCAGACUAUCCAUCUCUGGGUCCCUUCGUGAUAUGAGAUAGACAGUUGCUGUGGGUGUCAUCAAAGCAGUGGACAAGAAGGCUGCUGGAGCUGGCAAAGUCACCAAGUCUUCCCAGAAAGCUCAGAAGGCU